UGGGAGUACGUCGCAAGAAUGAAACUCAUAGGAAUUGACGGGGGCCCGCACAAGCGGAGGAACAUGUGGUUUAAUUCGAUGAUACGCGAGGAACCUUACCCGGGCUCGAACGGCAAGUGAAGGAAUAAGAGAUUAUGACGCCCUUCGGGGCACUUGUCGAGGUGCUGCAUGGUGUCGUCAGCUCGUGUCGUGAGAUGUUGGCUUAAGUGCCAUAACGAGCGCAACCCUUGUCGCCAGUUACCAGCAAGUGAAGUUGGGGACUCUGGCGAGACUGCCACCGCAAGGUGUGAGGAAGGCGGGGAUGACGUCAAAUCAGCACGGCCCUUACGUCCGGGGCGACACACGUGUUACAAUGGCGACUACAGAGGGAAGCCACCUGGUGACAGGGAGCAGAUCUCGAAAAGUCGUCUCAGUUCGGAUUGGAGUCUGCAACUCGACUCCAUGAAGCUGGAUUCGCUAGUAAUCGCGCAUCAGCCAUGGCGCGGUGAAUACGUUCCCGGGCCUUGUACACACCGCCCGUCAAGCCAUGAAAGCCGGGGGUGCCUGAAGUCCGUGACCGAGAGGAGCGGCCUAGGGCAAAACUGGUAAUGGGGCUAAGUCGUAACAAGGUAACCUA
rnacentral:rRNA from 1 species